rnacentral:rRNA from 1 species
UCCAGACUCCUACGGGAGGCAGCAGUGAGGAAUAUUGGGCAAUGGAGGCAACUCUGACCCAGCCAUGCCGCGUGAGUGAAGAAGGUUUUCGGAUUGUAAAGCUCUUUCGGAUGUGACGAUGAUGACGGUAGCAUCUAAAGAAGCCCCGGCUAAUUCCGUGCCAGCAGCCGCGGUAAUACGGAAGGUCCGGGCGUUAUCCGGAUUUAUUGGGUUUAAAGGGAGCGUAGGCCGGCUUUUAAGUCAGCUGUGAAAGUCCGCGGCUCAACCGUGGAAUUGCAGUUGAAACUGGAGGCCUUGAGUGCACACAGGGAUGCCGGAAUUCAUGGUGUAGCGGUGAAAUGCUUAGAUAUCAUGAAGAACUCCGAUCGCGAAGGCAAGUGUCCGGGGUGCAACUGACGCUGAGGCUCGAAAGUGCGGGUAUCAAACAGGAUUAGAUACCCGAGUAUG